rnacentral:siRNA from 1 species
UCCGAUUCUUCUGCUUAGUUU